rnacentral:rRNA from 1 species
CCUACGGGAGGCUGCAGUGAGGAAUAUUGGUCAAUGGUCGGGAGACUGAACCAGCCAAGCCGCGUGAGGGAUGAAGGUACAGAGUAUCGUAAACCUCUUUUGUCAGGGAACAAAGGCGGGGACGUGUCCCCGGAUGAGUGUACCUGAAGAAAAAGCAUCGACUAACUCCGUGCCAGCAGCCGCGGUAAUACGGAGGAUGCGAGCGUUAUCCGGAUUUAUGGGGUUAAAAGGGUGCGCAGGCGGUCUGUUAAGUCAGCGGUCAAAGCCCGGGGCUCAACCCCGGCCCGCCGUUGAAACUGGCAGUCUCGAGUUGGAGAGAAGUAUGCGGAAUGCGCGGUGUAGCGGUGAAAUGCAUAGAUAUCGCGCAGAACUCCGAUUGCGAAGGCAGCAUACCGGCGCUCAACUGACGCUCAUGCACGAAAGUGUGGGUAUCGAACAGGAUUAGAUACCCGGGUAGUC